CCUACGGGAGGCAGCAGUGGGGAAUAUUGCACAAUGGGCGCAAGCCUGAUGCAGCCAUGCCGCGUGUGUGAAGAAGGCCUUUUGGUUGUAAAGCACUUUAAGCGAGGAGGAGGCUACCUAGAUUAAUACUUUAGGAUAGUGGACGUUACUCGCAGAAUAAGCACCGGCUAACUCUGUGCCAGCAGCCGCGGUAAUACAGAGGGUGCGAGCGUUAAUCGGAUUUACUGGGCGUAAAGCGUGCGUAGGCGGCCAAUUAAGUCAAAUGUGAAAUCCCCGAGCUUAACUUGGGAAUUGCAUUCGAUACUGGUUGGCUAGAGUAUGGGAGAGGAUGGUAGAAUUCCAGGUGUAGCGGUGAAAUGCGUAGAGAUCUGGAGGAAUACCGAUGGCGAAGGCAGCCAUCUGGCCUAAUACUGACGCUGAGGUACGAAAGCAUGGGGAGCAAACAGGAUUAGAUACCCUCGUAGUC
rnacentral:rRNA from 1 species